AACGAACGCUGGCGGCAUGCCUAACACAUGCAAGUCGAACGAGACCUUCGGGUCUAGUGGCGCACGGGUGCGUAACGCGUGGGAACCUGCCCUUAGGCUCGGAAUAACUCCCCGAAAGGGGUGCUAAUACAGGAUAAUGUCUUCGGACCAAAGAUUUAUCGCCUUUGGAUGGGCCCGCGUUGGAUUAGCUAGUUGGUAGGGUAAAAGCCUACCAAGGCGACGAUCCAUAGCUGGUCUGAGAGGAUGAUCAGCCACACUGGGACUGAGACACGGCCCAGACUCCUACGGGAGGCAGCAGUGGGGAAUAUUGGACAAUGGGCGAAAGCCUGAUCCAGCAAUGCCGCGUGAGUGAUGAAGGCCUUAGGGUUGUAAAGCUCUUUUACCCGGGAUGAUAAUGACAGUACCGGGAGAAUAAGCUCCGGCUAACUCCGUG
rnacentral:rRNA from 1 species